rnacentral:rRNA from 1 species
CCUGGUUGAUCCUGCCAGUAGUAUAUGCUUGUCUCAAAGAUUAAGCCAUGCAUGUCUCAGUGCAAGCCACAUUAAGGUGAAACCGCGAAUGGCUCAUUACAUCAGUUAUGGUUCCUUAGAUCGUACCCACAUUACUUGGAUAACUGUGGUAAUUCUAGAGCUAAUACAUGCAAAUAGAGUUCCGACCAGAGAUGGAAGGAAUGCUUUUAUUAGAUCAAAACCAAUCGGUGGCGGGCUUGCCUUGCUCACCGUUUGACUUGGUGACUCUGAAUAACUUUGUGCCGAUCGCACGGUCUAGUACCGGCGACGCAUCUUUCAAAUGUCUGCCUUAUCAACUGUCGAUGGUAGUUUCUGCGACUACCAUGGUUGUUACGGGUAACGGGGAAUCAGGGUUCGAUUCCGGAGAGGGAGCCUGAGAAACGGCUAACACAUUCAAGGAAGGCAGCAGGCGCGCAAAUUACCCACUCCCGGCACGGGGAGGUAGUGACGAAAAAUAACGAUACGGGACUCAUCCGAGGCCCCGUAAUCGGAAUGAGUACACUUUAAAUCCUUUAACGAGGAUCUAUUAGAGGGCCAGUCUGGUGCCAGCAGCCGCGGUAAUUCCAGCUCUAAUAGCGUAUAUUAAAGUUGUUGCGGUUAAAAAGUUCGUAGUUGAAUCUGUGUCCCACACUGUCGGUUCACCGCUCGCGGUGUUCAACAGGCAUGUUUGUGGGACGUCCUACCGGUGGGCUUAGCCCGUAAAAAGGCGGCCCAACUCAAAAUCCUACCAAGGUGCUCUUCACCGAGUGUCGAGGUGGGCCGGUACGUUUACUUUGAGAAAAUUAGAGUGCUUAAAGCAGGCUCAUUCGCCUGAAUAUUGUGUGCAUGGAAUAAUGGAAUAGGACCUCGGUUCUAUUUUGUUGGUUUUCGGAAUUCCGAGGUAAUGAUUAAUAGGGACAACUGGGGGCAUUCGUAUUGCGACGUUAGAGGUGAAAUUCUUGGAUCGUCGCAAGACGGACAGAAGCGAAAGCAUUUGCCAAAUAUGUUUUCAUCAAUCAAGAACGAAAGUUAGAGGUUCGAAGGCGAUCAGAUACCGCCCUAGUUCUAACCAUAAACGAUGCCAGCUAGCGAUCCGCCGAAGUUCCUCCGAUGACUCGGCGGGCAGCUUCCGGGAAACCAAAGCUUUUGGGUUCCGGGGGAAGUAUGGUUGCAAAGCUGAAACGAGAAAAACGAACGAGACUCUAGCCUGCUAAGUAGACGUACUUUCUGGUAUCGCAAAGACCCUCCGCUUCGGCUUCGGUCGUUGUUGGUUGUGGUUCUCACUACCGGCGUACAAAUAUAUCUUCUUAGAGGGACAGGCGGCAUUUAGUCGCACGAAAUUGAGCAUUAACAGGUCUGUGAUGCCCUUAGAUGUUCUGGGCCGCACGCGCGCUACACUGAAGAGAUCAGCAGGUUUUCCUUGGCCGAAAGGUCCGGGUAAUCCGUUGAAGCCUCUUCGUGCUAGGGAUUGGGGCUUGCAAUUCUUCCCCAUGAACGAGGAAUUCCUAGUAAGCGCGAGUCAUAAGCUUGCGUUGAUUAUGUCCCUGCCCUUUGUACACACCGCCCGUCGCUACUACCGAUUGAAUUAUUUAGUGAGGUCUUCGGACCGGUGCGCGGCAGCGUUUCGACAUUGCCGAUGUUGCUGGGAAGAUAACCGAACUUUAGUUCCGAAACGUCGACAGUAAAUGAACAAAUAAAUAAAUUGUUU